UCCCUAGUGGUCCAGUGGUUACGAUUCUGUGCUCCCGAUGCAGGGGACCCAGGUUCGAUUCCUGGUCAGGGAA
rnacentral:tRNA from 1 species